UACGAAGGGAGCUAGCGUUGUUCGGAAUCAUUGGGCGUAAAGCGCAUGUAGGCGGUCGGCUAUGUCGGAUGUGAAAGCCUCGGGCUUAACCCGAGAAGUGCAUCCGAAACUGGCCGGCUUGAGUACGGAAGAGGGUCUCGGAAUUCCCGGUGUAGAGGUGAAAUUCGUAGAUAUCGGGAGGAACACCAGUGGCGAAGGCGGAGACCUGGGCCGAUACUGACGCUGAGAUGCGAAAGCGUGGGGAGCAAACAGG
rnacentral:rRNA from 1 species